rnacentral:rRNA from 1 species
GACGUAGGGCGCGAGCGUUGUCCGGAAUUAUUGGGCGUAAAGAGCUCGUAGGCGGUCUGUUGCGUCGGCUGUGAAAACCCGGGGCUCAACUCCGGGCUUGCAGUGGAUACGGGCAGACUAGAGUUCGGUAGGGGAGACUGGAAUUCCUGGUGUAGCGGUGAAAUGCGCAGAUAUCAGGAGGAACACCGGUGGCGAAGGCGGGUCUCUGGGCCGAUACUGACGCUGAGGAGCGAAAGCGUGGGGAGCAAACAGG